GACGAACGCUGGCGGCGUGCUUAACACAUGCAAGUCGAACGGAAAGGCCCUGCUUUUGUGGGGUGCUCGAGUGGCGAACGGGUGAGUAACACGUGAGUAACCUGCCCUUGACUUUGGGAUAACUUCAGGAAACUGGGGCUAAUACCGGAUAGGAGCUCCUGCUGCAUGGUGGGGGAUGGAAAGUUUCGGCGGUUGGGGAUGGACUCGCGGCUUAUCAGCUUGUUGGUGGGGUAGUGGCUUACCAAGGCUUUGACGGGUAGCCGGCCUGAGAGGGUGACCGGCCACAUUGGGACUGAGAUACGGCCCAGACUCCUACGGGAGGCAGCAGUGGGGAAUAUUGCACAAUGGGCGGAAGUCUGAUGCAGCAAUGCCGCGUGCGGGAUGACGGCCUUCGGGUUGUAAACCGCUGUCGCCUGUGACGAAGCGUGAGUGACGGUAAUGGGUAAAGAAGCACCGGCUAACUACGUG
rnacentral:rRNA from 1 species